AUUGAACGCUGGCGGCAGGCCUAACACAUGCACGUCGAACGAGUGGCGGACGGGUGAGUAAUGUCUGGGAAACUGCCCGAUGGAGGGGGAUAACUACUGGAAACGGUAGCUAAUACCGCAUACCAUCGGAUGUGCCCAGAUGGGAUUAGCUAGUAGGUGGGAUAAUGGCUCAACUAGGCGACGAUCCCUAGCUGGUCUGAGAGGAUGACCAGCCACACUGGAACUCAGCCACGGCCCAGACUCCUACGGGUGGCAGCAGUGGGGAAUAGUGCACAAUGGGCGCAAGCCUUAUGCAGCCAGGCCGCGUGUAUGAAGAAGGCCUUCGGGUUGUAAAGUACUUUCAGCGAGGAGUCGUUACUCGCAGAAGAAGCACCGGCUAACUCCGUGCCAGCAGCCGCGGUAAUAC
rnacentral:rRNA from 1 species